rnacentral:rRNA from 1 species
GACGUAGGGGGCGAGCGUUGUCCGGAUUCAUUGGGCGUAAAGAGCGCGUAGGCGGCCCGGAAAGUGGGGUGUGAAAAACCCGAGGCUCAACCUCGGGGCGUGCAUUCCAAACUCCCGGCUCGAGGCAGGUAGGGGAGAUCGGAAUUCCUGGUGUAGCGGUGAAAUGCGCAGAUAAUCAGGAGGAACACCUGAGGCGAAGGCGGGCUACUGGGCCGAUACUGACGCUGAUGUGCGAAAGCCAGGGGGAGCGAACGGG